GGCCUACGGGGGGCAGCAGUAGGGAAUCUUCCACAAUGGACGAAAGUCUGAUGGAGCAACGCCGCGUGAGUGAAGAAGGGUUUCGGCUCGUAAAGUUCUGUUGAAGGGGGAAAAGAGCGGAGAGAGGAAAUGGGCUCCGAUUGAUAUUACCCUUCGAGGAAGUCACGGCUAACUACGUGCCAGCAGCCGCGGUAAUACGUAGGUGGCGAGCGUUAUCCGGGAUGAUUGGGCGUAAAGGGUGCGUAGGCGGCCUGCUAAGUCUGGAGUGAAAGGUACCGGCUCAACCGGUCCAGGCGCUGGAAAAG
rnacentral:rRNA from 1 species